UUCGAUUCGCUAACGCGUGCGAGAGAGAGAGAGAGAACGAGGGAGCGAGAAGUAGAAAGGGAGUGAGGGAAAAAGGGCUCUUCGUUUUCCACCUGUUCGCCCCGUAGCAGCCCUCCGAACCGCCGGAGAAUUCUCGGAGCCCCGCCGGAGGGAGUCGUCGCCGCUGUCCGCCGCCUCGGAAACCAUGUCGGGGGGUCGCGGAGUUAGGGUUUUGUGCCCGGAGGGGAGCCUCGCGAUGCCAAUCGAGUCCAUCGGGAAAUGAGCCUGCGGAUCGCCGUGGGAUUUGGGGUCCGGACGCUCGACGGCCAAGAUUUCGUCUCCGGAUGGAGGGUGGCGGAAGCCUAGGCACUUUCUCUCCGGGAUACAUCCAUGGAUUAUGAUGAUAAUGAUUUUCAAAGCCAGAAUUUUCAACUAGUUGGAGAAGACAGCAACAGGUUUCCUCCAAGUUUGAGGUCAUUUGCUCUACCAAAAUUUGAUUUUGAUGAACAUCUCCAGGUCCAUCUGAGGUUUGACAGUUUAGUUGAACCAGAGGUUUUACUUGGCAUACAAGAUCAAGAAAACAAUUGGAUUGAGCACUUUUCACCAGGAAGUAGUGCAAUAGAAUUUAGUUCAAGUGCAGCUGAAUCUUGCUCCAUUUCUAGGCAUAACAAUGUCUGGUCUGAGGCUACAUCCUCUGAAUCUGUGGAGAUGUUAUUGAAAUCUGUUGGAGAAGAUGAGAUGGUAAACAAAAAAGUUGACACUAAAGAGGCAGAUGCACAUGAUCAAUUGAAUGGGCUAGAUGAUCAAAUGGAUCCCUUGAUUAGACAAGAUGAUUCCCAAAAUUCUCGCAUGGCAGCUAUUGUACACUCAGAUCUCACCAUACAGCCUGAUAGAUCUAAUAAUAUCCUUUCAGGGCCAGAUGAGGAUGCAUUUAGGGGUCAGCCUCAGGUUGAAGGUAUGUCUCAAACUUCAAAAGAUGAAAAACCGGAAAAAGACUUGGAUCUAAGUUCGUCUGUUGAGAAGUUUAGCUCUGAUCGAAAGGUUGUUCCUGAGCAAUGCACUGCUGAUAAAACUUCUUCCGAUGAAGUUAUUAAUGAGUUUUUUGAGAGUGUUCAGGAUGCUGAUUCCUUGGAUAAUGCAUUCAUGAGGAAGAGUACACCUGAUGAUCAUGGUUGUGCUCCAUGUGCGGGUACAAGAGCAAGUUCUGAAUACAGGAAUACUCAAGAUGACCCUGCAGCAAUUUCCAUGGAUAGAUCUGGUAUGUAUUCUGGGAGGCAAUCGUUCUCAGAGCGAAUAAUGGAGGGAAACAAAGAGGUUGACAUGCUUGAGAAAUCCGAAGGUCUGCAACCUGAUAAUCAUCAGAAAGCAUAUGGUCAGAUUACAUGCAGUGAUGGUAAAAUGAUUGAUCAGCAUUCUGAAGGUCUUGCACUCAACAAUGAUUUUUCCAACAUGAAGGAUUCUUCAUGUUCAGAGCCAUCUAUGGAUUCUUUGGUGUAUUUAAAUGAAGAGUGCAAUAAGUCCAUGUUUUCUGAGAACUCUAAUGGAUUAUUGGAAGCUAUUGCUUACCAGGGUAAGGCCUUAAACAAAGACAAUGAGACAGGUGAUAAGGUUGUGACACACAUGAAUGAAAAGUCUUCUUUAGAGGUGGCAGGAGAUAUGAAAUUUGAGAGGCAUUCUCUUGAAGUCAGCAAUGAAAAUAUUGCUAAGGUACCUCGUAUAACAGAAGCAUCUGAAAAUGCUGGCCAUGAUGAGGCUGAAUUUCUUUCAAAAAAUGAUGAUCUUCAUGCAAGUAUUCUGCCCAUUAACACAAGUAUAGCUGAUUUAGGGGAGGAAAGAGAACUUUCUCCUUGUAAGGAAGUUAUUGAAGAGAAACAAAACCUUGAAGGUCAGAUAUCUGACAAAAACAACAAUGAUUCUCAUAAUACCAAACCCACUGUUAUACAAAAGAGCGUAGAAGAUGAAGAUCUUAAAGAUACUAAUGAGAAAUCAAGUGUCACAUCGAAGGCUUCAGAAGAUGCUUCUUUCGAGAAAUCUCCUUUGCCUACUUUACAGCAUGAUACAGAAGUAAAGGUAUUGUCUUCCACUUGUGACAAAUCAAUUGAGAUGAAGAAAGCAGGUACUUCAGAGGCCGAGUCCAUUGAUGACAAUGUGAUCCCUCCAGAUAUUUCUGUUAUUGGAAAGGAAUUCAUAGCACCAUUCGUUGUUUCAUGUGGUGCAAGCUCUAAUACUGACAAUUCUAAUGUUACUGAGAGGGUAGAAGAGGCCUCAUUUAUAGCCCAAAAUGCUGUUAUGGUGAAAGAUGGUUCAUCUGUCACGAAACUUAUUCAGGAUGAAUCUGUCGCUGAUCCUGCUACAGUAGGUACCAAGUCAACUUCACUCAGUGAUUCAACUGUUGUCCACCGGUCAUGGUCUGAAGAUGCUCUUGCUGUGGGUGUGGUUGGAGAACCGAAAGAUGCAGCAGUGUCACCUUUACAUGCAUCAGAGCAUAUGCACUCUGAUGAGAAGGCUGCAAAAAUUUCAGCAUCUGUUAGAGAGAGUAACUUAGAUUCACAGAUAUCAAGUGAGCCAACUACAGUUGCUGAUGCAGUUCUGGAUGGUGCGCUGCCAAGGAAUAUUGUUCCGGAUGAAUCAGCAGAAACUGCUAAGAAAGAUGAGAAGCAGCCGAUGCCUGUACCUCCAUCUGUAGGAGAGUCUAUUUUUCAAAAUGGACAGCAAAGUAAUGAAGCUAAUAUAACUCCUGGAGAUGACUGUCAUGUGCAGAAUCUUGCUGUGGAAACCAACUGUGAUGCAUCCGGUGCCUAUACAAACAAAUCUCCCCAUUCCGCCUUGCCUACAAGCAAUGUUGAAUCCCACUUAUUGGAACCUGGAAGCAGUAUUCAGGGUUCACUUGAGCCAAGUUGUGGUUCACCCACAGUCAUCAGUUGCACUGAACAUUCUCAAGAUGGAGUGGAGUGUCAAGAGGGUAGUAGAGGAUUGUUGGAGCAUACUGGUCCUACUUCAGAUGACCCACCUCGUAUAUCUUCUGAUGCAAUGGUGAGUGCUGGUAAAGUCAAAGCCAGGGACUGUAAUUCCAAGGAGGGUACUGCAUCUGAAGAUGAUAGAAGCUUUAAAUUUGAGGUUGGAUCAGUAGCAGAGUUGUCUGAAAAGAACACUGGAAAUAACUGGAAACCCUUUUCCAGUAUGCAUCCUUCUGAACUUCCUCAGGUUUCAAAAGAGAAUUCUGAACAUGGCCCUAGAGAAUCCAAAGAAAGGAGUCCUCGUGUGACCAUGACCAAAACAAUUGGUGAAGAUAAAAGUAAGCAAGCAUCGGGCUCUGGAACUGGAAAAGCAAGCACUUCAAAAAGGGCUGCUAAAGAAACAUCAUCACCAAAAAAGGCAAAAGAAAGGGAAAGGAAUAUAUGUAGUACGUCUCCUACUGGCGAUGCAAGGUUGGAGGAGAUGCGACAACACCCCUGUGUUGAGAGCAGUAGUAUGAAGACGUCUUGUUCUCCGACCGUUCAGACAUCUAAUUUGCCUGACUUGAAUACUUCAGUUUCUACUGCAGCAUUGUUUCACCAACCUUUCACAGAUCUACAACAAGUACAACUGCGUGCACAGAUCUUUGUUUAUGGAUCUUUAAUUCAAGGUAUUCCGCCGGAUGAGGCUUGUAUGAUAUCGGCCUUUGGAGGAACUGGUGGUGGAAGGAGCUUAUGGGAUGGAGUUUGGCGUGCUGCUGCAGAAAGGUUCCAGAAACAGAAAUCACCUCUGAAUAAUUCUGAAACCCCACUACAUUCUUCUUCAGGUGUCAGGGUUACUGAGCAAGGAACGAGGUCCAGUCCACUUCAAAGCAAGGCCCUCUAUACCCCUGCUAGCCGAAGUGGCACCAAGGUUGUGCCUUCAACUAUGGUAAAUUCAACAAUGUGUUUGCCAUCACCUUUGUGGAGUAUUUCUUCUCAUGAUGCGUUACCAUCUAAUGUGCAAAGAGGCACACAUCUGGACUUCAAUCAGGCUUUAUCUCCCCUGCAUUCAUAUCAAUCUUCCCAAACGAGGCACUAUACAGGCAAUGCUACACCAUGGUUUUCUCAGAGCCCUCGUCCUGGUUCCUGGGUUGUUUCCUCGCAAAGUUCAACUUUAGGAGCUAGCUCGCAACAUUCUGCAAUACCUCUUGCUGAAACUAUUCAAGUAACACCUGUCAAAGACUCAUCUACACCCUGUGCCUCCAAUAUGCAGCUUGUGUCCCCUAAUACUCUGCCGCCGCCUCAGGCUCCCACGAGUGUUUCUGCAGCAUCUGUUGUGCAGGUUGAAACCCAAAAGAAGUCGGCAAAUCCUCCAAAUACAAGGAACACAUCUACUGCACAGAAGUCGAGAAAGAGGAAGAAGGGUUCGGCACUUGAAGAGCUUGGCCCAAUCUUUUCAGUUUCUCAACCUCAGACUGAACCUGCUGCUUCCGCUACUGCUGUUACUAAGCAUCUAUCAACUUUGGCAGGCUACCCUUUAUCCACAAACUCCUCUAGUAAAGCUGCCCCUGGUGGUCUUGUUUCAGCUACAUCUCCCAUUGCCUCUCCUACUCAUUUCCAGAUGGUUGGAGGUGGCGAUGCUGAACAGAGGGUCAUUCUUUCAGAGGAGACAUACAAUAGAAUUGAGCAGUCAAAGCUGCAAGCAGAACAUGCUGCUGCUCAUGCUGCUACUGCAGUCCGGCACAGCCAAGGAAUAUGGAGUCAGUUAGCUACCCAAAAGAAAUCUGGCUCAGUUUCAGAAGUUGAAGAGAAGCUUGCCUCUGCUGCUGUUGCAGCUGCAGCAGCUGCUUCUGUUGCAAAAGCAGCUGCAGAGGCUGCUAAGGUUGCAUCAGAGGCUUCUUUACAGGCUAAGAUGAUGGUAGAUGAAGCUCUGAGUUCUGCUAAAACGGGUCAUCCUGGUCAAAAUUCUGAGUCUGGCCUUGAUGUUGGAAAGGAUUUGGCAAGAUUAACUCCUGUUUCAAUAUUGAAGGGCAAGGACAAGGUCAAUGGAUCGAGUUCAAUCAUUUCUGUUGCACGAGAGGCUGCCAGAAGAAGAGUGGAAGCAGCUUCUGCUGCGACAAAGCGAGCAGAGAACCUGGAUGCCAUUUUAAAAGCUGCAGAACUGACUGCAGAAGCUGUUUCGCAAGCAGGAAUAAUCGUUGCAAUGGGGGAUCCCUUACCAUUUACUAUCAGUGAAUUGGUGGAAGCUGGUCCUGAAAGUUAUUGGAAAAUGCAGCACACAGCUAUGGAGAAACAUGCAAAAACCAAUGACUUGCAUCAAGAGGAAAAUUUGGAUGCAGAUGCUCCUAAUGAUCAUGAUAUAUCUGUUAAACAAUCUACUGAGCGACCGUUAGGCCAUAGGGAGAGAGAGAGAGAUACCAAUGAAGAGGGGAUAACUUCCCAUAGUGAACAGGCCAUGCAGUUGGAGGAAAAUAGCAUAGGAAUCACAUCAGUAACUUUUCCAACUGAUAGAGUUGAAAGAGAUUCUCUGGCAAGUAAUCUUAAAGGAACUAGCAUCCAGAAGGGAUCUCUUGUAGAGGUCGUGGCUGAUGAGGAUGGUCUCAGAGGGGUUUGGUUUUCUGCACAGGUUCUUGAUGUGAAAGAUGGUAAAGCAUUUGUCUGCUACAACAAUCUUCUUCCUGAUGAAGGCUCUGGUCAGCUGGAGGAAUGGAUACCACUUGAGAGUGCAAACAAUAACGCUCCUAGAAUACGUGUUACUCAUCCUAUGGCUGCAGCGAAAUCUGGAGGAACAAGGAAGCGGCGUAGAGAGGCUGUAGGAAAUUAUGCUUGGGCAGUUGGAGAUAGGGUAGAUGCAUGGAUACGGGAUGGUUGGUGGGAAGGGAUUGUCACUGAAAAGAGCCCAGGUGAUGAGACAAAGUUGACCGUCCAUUUUCCAGCUGGAGGCGAUUCAUCAGUUGUUAGAGCUUGGAAUCUUCGGCCAUCUCUCACUUGGAAGGAUGGUCAAUGGAUGUUGUGGUCCCAUGUCAGAGAAAGAAAUACAGUUGAACCCUAUGAGGGUGAUACUCCCUAUGAGAAGCGGCAAAAGCUUGGCAGGCUUGAAGGCAAGAUUGAUUCAGGAAUUGAUGGCAGAGGAGUAGGGAGUAUGUCAACAGAUGUGUGCAGUGAUGAUUCUAGGAAACCUGAAGAUUCAAGAUCACUAAAUUUAUCUGCAAAGGAUAAAAUCUUUUCUGUUGGAAAGAAUGAUAGAGAGCAAAGUAAUUUUGGUGCACUGAAAGUAAAACGGACUGGUCUGCAGAAAGAAGGAUCAAGAGUGGUCUUUGGUGUCCCUAAGCCUGGAAAGAAGCGAAAAUUUAUGGAAGUAAGCAAACAUUACACUGCAGACAAGACUGAAAAGGCAAGUGAAGGAAAUGAUUCUAUUAAAUUUGCUAAGUAUUUGAUGCCACAAACAUCCCGUGUAUGGAGAACUACUUCAAAAGUGGAGAGCAAGGGAAAAAGGGCCAGCAACUCCAAGCCUAAGGGGCUUAAAUCUGUAAAAUCUCAAAACAUUCAGGCUAGAGGUACAGCUGAGAGGGAUAGUUCAUCCAUUACCACCGUGUCUGCUUCAAAUGGUGGAGAAAGUGGUCUUGGUUCUAUACCAAAUGUCAAAGCUUCUUUUAAUAAUGAAGAGAACAAUCUAGGAAAGAAAAACCUACCCGAAGCUGGUCCUUCGUCAACUAGUAUUGGAACAGCAGAUGCCGCAGCAACAGAGUCUUCUGUGCCAAUGCCUGGUGUUCCAUCAUCUAAGAAGCCGUCCGCUGCUGUUGAAGCCGGUAUUGGAGGAAAAGGAAAGGUUACACCUGCUACAGAUAAAUCGACUGGAACUGAAUUUAAGGGCUCUGGAGAUCCAGCUAAAAUUAUCCUGGAUGCCACUGGACCUCGGAGAUCCAACCGCAGAAUCCAACCAACCUCGAGGUUGCUAGAGGGAUUGCAAAGUUCUCUGAUCAUAUCCAAGAUUCCCAGUGUUUCACAUGACAGGGGUGCUAGAGCCCAGCAUAGAGGUGCAUCGUCUUCUAGAGGGAAUGCUCAUGGUUGAGAGGAAGGCUUUUUGAUGCUGUUAUUUGAUCUAUAUACAAAUCUUAACCUAUUUUGUAUUGCAGGAUUCAGAUGAUGCAACAGAAUAACAAACUAGAACAUCCUUCAGCUAUCUUGCUGAUUUGUAGGCAUGAAUUGCUGGUAUGGGCAUGUGGUUUCUGCUUGAUAUUAUUUGUUUCUACUUUUGUUAUUAGCCCGAGUAAGUUAAAACUAGUUUGUUCAGUUUUGUGCUUCUUGUAUUCUGAACUGUCAUUACUUGCUUUUCCUUCAUUUUGUAACCUCAAAAGGGAAGUGGUGGGCUUGCCCAGGUGGUCAUUCUUCUGCUUUGCAACCAAAGAUUCUAGGAUUUACAGGUGCAGUCAGUGACGCUUGAAUGCAUGAUUAAGGUUAUCUCAAUGGAAUUUUAUGGUGCAGAAAUAGUAGGCUAACAAUUUUCAGAUCGAGGUAUCACCAAAGAGACUGACUUGUAACACUUGUUGUAUGAGGCCACCUCAGCGAUCUAUGGCAAUAAAUAUAGUCUGACUAGUAGGUUCAGCAAUGAAGAUCCAAUGUUGGCAUAAUCAGGUGCUCUGUUUUCGUGAGGUUAAGACAGGUUUUUCUUUGAGCCCUUGAUAUAUUAUUCAUGUGGUAUUAUUCAUGGUUGCAAUGUUUUUGUCUUGUUGCCGCAA